CAUUAACAGCCGGUUUCCGAAACGUUAUUCAAAUCUUCGAUCAUCUAAUCGAGCUGUUAGAUUUGAUCAACUGUUAACCAGUGACCAGUUUCUCAAACGUCGAUCAUCUUAAAAUUAUAUGAUCGUAGAAAAUCGAUUAUCUGACAUACGAUUUGGUAUCGAUACUGUCACAAUCGGCUGUCAUCCUUCAAAAUUUCAUUUUAUAACCAAAAAAUUUCAAUCCAUAGUAAAUAACUACAUAAUUUAUAAAAUUAAAAAAUAUAUUAAAAAUGAGCAAUACCAACGGAAAUCCUCCACGCAAAAAUUAUACUGAGAGAGAGAAAUGUUUGCUGUUGGAAAUAAUUGGAAAAUACAAGCAUAUUAUAAUUGAAAACAAAUAAUGUACCAAUGCUAUGUCCAACAAACCAAAACAAUGAAACCUUGGAAAAAAUAGCGUUGAAUUUCCCAGAACUCCCAAGCAGCUGAACACUGCAUAUAUAAAUUAAAAAAGGGUCACUCACCAAAAAGUAGCAGAGGAAAAUAUUCAAAAAUAUAAUGAGCAGAAGGUUUUGGACCAGUUGAAGAGAGACCAAACUGCGGACAAA
rnacentral:lncRNA from 1 species